UCCAAAGUCAUGACAUGUUGAGCAACGCUAAGAUAAACAAAGAGUAAACCUUAGAUAACUUGUGCUUCAUCUUGGACAUAAAAAUCAGCAGAAAUGGAUUGAUUUUUCAAGGCCUGCACAGAUUUUCAUUCCUUGACGUCUGACCUGCUAAUUACGACUUUUCAGAAGGCGGUGUGGAAAUGUGCUUUUUUGUAAACCGAGGAGCAUCUGUUUGCCAUGGCAACAAGAGCAUCACCUCGGACUGCAAACGGGCGCUUUCAGACACAGAAACCGAAGGAACUUCUGCCUCUACUAACUAUGUAUACAUUUUCAUGUAAAAGAAAAAAGAAUUAAAAGAAGAAGAAAAAAGUCAGUCUCAGUAGCACAGUCACAGUGAGCCAGGUUCGGGUUCUGCUGGAUGUUUCUUUCUGUUAAAGGGGAGUUCUCCUCUCCACUAACAAGGAGGGAUUGCUGAAAAUUCAGUUACUUGACGCAAUCUGCUCGGUUUCCUCAGAUAAAAAAACAUUUCGCCAACUUUAACUGAGCUGAACUUGACUCACUGCAUGGUUGUAUUACUACAAUAAAAUUU